CGUAUGCCCACUAAAUACACACGUUGUAUCUAACUGAACAACAUACAGAAACACACUGGAUUAUAAAAUGUGCCUUGACAAAAAGUAGAUCUUUAAUUUGUUACAGCUAAACUGUGAACAAACUGACCAAAUAGUUUCACGCUAACACCACGUCAAUGUUUAACAGUUUAACAUCCGUCCUGAUUUUUGCGUUGUGUAACGUUCGUCAUCAGCCAGGAGGAAACUCCAGGCACCGCUCAGUUCACCGUCAACACCUGUUUCAUUAGGCUCCGCCCCUCCCUUAUAAAAACCUGACAUAUCGAGUUCUCUUCUUAACAUUCCAACUCAAUUUUUCUUACGAAUAGUACAAACAACUAAUUUGAUUUAGUACUGACAACGUUAAAAAAAAGAAUAAGUAAUGACCACUUAAAAUGUUUAUUUUAUCAUAAUUACUUGUUUACUGUCUAACAAACAGUUAUGAGAAUCUGGUCCAACUAAUUAAUUCAUGCUCAACGGAACAGAACGCCUCACAUCAUGAUUGUGGAACACAGAGACUGUUUAAAAAUACAGUCAAAUCAAAAAAUGAUCUUUACUCAGAUCAUAACCACUGCACUUUUCUCCAUUUUCCUCCUCCUGAGCCCAAGCCUCAGUGAAGACACAGGAUUACAUCAGCUGCAGCGACUAGUGGAUCUUCUGACAGUUCAUGAGUGUGAAGAGCUUCUAAUGACCCUCUCAAACCCAGUUGAAAACCAUUCCCUCUCUGAGGAAACAAACCAAUUCAGAAUGAUAGGCCGCACACCCAGAGGUACAGACAAAAAGUCCCACUGUCAUUCACUACUGAUUGACUGGCUCCAGACCAAUGGUGAACAGAUGUACUAUGACAGACUAUCUCGCACUCUUCAGCAGAUUGGAAGGACUGACAUUGCAAUAGAGUUAGGUAAGAACAUUAAUCAGGACCAGACUCUGGCCAUGCAGCGCUAUGUUGACAAAUACCAUGAGCACAUCAACCAAAUACCAUCCUAUUUAAUGCACUCUCAAGCUGAGGAAACACAUCAUUCUGUAAAAGAAAACAGAUGGGAAACAUCUACCUAUAUCAUCAGCACCAUAACAGCACCAUCUUUGAAGAAAACCAAACACACUAUCACACAAGCAUCUCAUAUCUGCUGUCAGUGGCUUGGCUGAACAAAAUUCUUCUAAGGCAGAAGGGAUGAGUGAAAAGGGUAUUAAUAUAUUACUGUGAUCUGGUUGGAACAUGGCCAGUCUGUGGGUGUUUUGGAUGCAGCGUGUGGUAUAAAUGUCCGUGAGAGAGGGAAGAGAGACUCUAAUGGUCUUUUCAGCUGUUCUCACUAUCUGCUGUAGGGUCAUGCAAUCCGAGAUGGUGCAAUCCCAAACCAGACAGUGCAGCUGCUCAGUGGUCCCUCUGUAAAACGUAAUCAGGAUGGGAAGAGGCAGAUGUGGUUUCCUCAGCCUUCAUAGGAAGUAGAGAUGCUGCUGGGCUUUCUUGACCACUUCUCAUCACUUGGAGGCCACUCACUGCUGCCCUACAUGUACAUCCUUGAGAAAUAUAGCACUGUUAGAUAGUAUCACUUAGAGACCAUGGACAUGGCUUUGGACUGUCAUUUCCAUAAUUACUAACCAGUUGACAACUUCAUCAAGACAGACUUGAUAUAAUGAAUGAAUUGUCUUAUGCAUUGGUGCUUCUUGACUAUAAAAUACAGCUGUAGAUGUCUCUCAAGGUUUCUUUCUUCCUUUCUUCUUCUUUUUUCUUUCUUCUUCUUUAUUGCUUUUUGAAAAGAGCUAUACAAAUGAAAAUUGAUUGAAUUGAAGCUGAACAAACCCACACAGCCAAUUCCACAUCCAUUAAAAUAUUUCUAUUACUGGAACACCCCAUCAUCCUAGGGAUUCCCUAGCAAAUAUCAUGGCACAGCAAAGAAAUCGCAAUCCUACUGCAUUAAUCCCUGCCUGCAUCUUCACCACUUAGUAAUUGCACUUACUACAAUGAAAAGCCCCAAAAGUCAAGCACUUACAACAGUUACUAUAAAAUAUCAAGAUAUAGAAGAUGGCUUCAGCAAAGAUAAAGCUAGCCUACCACUACAUAGACCCACUGACUGUGACACAGAGCUCCUGACAGGCGCCAUCCAAGUUAAUCUCAAUUCAGUUCAAUUCAGAUUUAAUUUGUAUAAACUUUUAACAAUGGACAUUGCUUCAAUCAUUGAAGGACAAUGAAUCUUUUAAUAUAUCCUAUCUUCUUAGCCUCACAAUAAGCAGUGGAGGACUUCACCUAAGAGCCAUUAAAACAAGCGAGGAGCUUGUCCUGGAAGGAUUUGGACCUGGUGGUGGAGUGGCAACCAAAGCCACCAUACCAGCAUCACAUGCUGGAUGGUGUAUGGACUCUGAUCAUUGGCCUCAUCCUUGGAGUUAUUGGUGCACU